UACGUAGGGUGCGAGCGUUGUCCGGAAUUAUUGGGCGUAAAGAGCUCGUAGGCGGUUUGUCGCGUCUGCUGUGAAAACCCGAGGCUCAACCUCGGGCCUGCAGUGGGUACGGGCAGACUAGAGUGCGGUAGGGGAGAUUGGAAUUCCUGGUGUAGCGGUGGAAUGCGCAGAUAUCAGGAGGAACACCAAUGGCGAAGGCAGAUCUCUGGGCCGAUACUGACGCUGAGGAGCGAAAGCGUGGGGAGCGAACAGG
rnacentral:rRNA from 1 species